rnacentral:rRNA from 1 species
CCUGCGGAGGGAUCAUUACCGAGUUUACA